rnacentral:rRNA from 1 species
GAUGAACGCUGGCGGCGUGCCUAAUACAUGCAAGUCGAGCGAACGGACGAGAAGCUUGCUUCUCUGAUGUUAGCGGCGGACGGGUGAGUAACACGUGGAUAACCUACCUAUAAGACUGGGAUAACUUCGGGAAACCGGAGCUAAUACCGGAUAAUAUUUUGAACCGCAUGGUUCAAAAGUGAAAGACGGUCUUGCUGUCACUUAUAGAUGGAUCCGCGCUGCAUUAGCUAGUUGGUAAGGUAACGGCUUACCAAGGCAACGAUGCAUAGCCGACCUGAGAGGGUGAUCGGCCACACUGGAACUGAGACACGGUCCAGACUCCUACGGGAGGCAGCAGUAGGGAAUCUUCCGCAAUGGGCGAAAGCCUGACGGAGCAACGCCGCGUGAGUGAUGAAGGUCUUCGGAUCGUAAAACUCUGUUAUUAGGGAAGAACAUAUGUGUAAGUAACUGUGCACAUCUUGACGGUACCUAAUCAGAAAGCCACGGCUAACUACGUGCCAGCAGCCGCGGUAAUACGUAGGUGGCAAGCGUUAUCCGGAAUUAUUGGGCGUAAAGCGCGCGUAGGCGGUUUUUUAAGUCUGAUGUGAAAGCCCACGGCUCAACCGUGGAGGGUCAUUGGAAACUGGAAAACUUGAGUGCAGAAGAGGAAAGUGGAAUUCCAUGUGUAGCGGUGAAAUGCGCAGAGAUAUGGAGGAACACCAGUGGCGAAGGCGACUUUCUGGUCUGUAACUGACGCUGAUGUGCGAAAGCGUGGGGAUCAAACAGGAUUAGAUACCCUGGUAGUCCACGCCGUAAACGAUGAGUGCUAAGUGUUAGGGGGUUUCCGCCCCUUAGUGCUGCAGCUAACGCAUUAAGCACUCCGCCUGGGGAGUACGACCGCAAGGUUGAAACUCAAAGGAAUUGACGGGGACCCGCACAAGCGGUGGAGCAUGUGGUUUAAUUCGAAGCAACGCGAAGAACCUUACCAAAUCUUGACAUCCUUUGACAACUCUAGAGAUAGAGCCUUCCCCUUCGGGGGACAAAGUGACAGGUGGUGCAUGGUUGUCGUCAGCUCGUGUCGUGAGAUGUUGGGUUAAGUCCCGCAACGAGCGCAACCCUUAAGCUUAGUUGCCAUCAUUAAGUUGGGCACUCUAAGUUGACUGCCGGUGACAAACCGGAGGAAGGUGGGGAUGACGUCAAAUCAUCAUGCCCCUUAUGAUUUGGGCUACACACGUGCUACAAUGGACAAUACAAAGGGCAGCGAAACCGCGAGGUCAAGCAAAUCCCAUAAAGUUGUUCUCAGUUCGGAUUGUAGUCUGCAAUUCGACUACAUGAAGCUGGAAUCGCUAGUAAUCGUAGAUCAGCAUGCUACGGUGAAUACGUUCCCGGGUCU